UACGGAAGGUCCGGGCGUUAUCCGGAUUUAUUGGGUUUAAAGGGAGCGUAGGCCGGCUUUUAAGCGUGUUGUGAAAUGCCGCGGCUCAACCGUGGCACUGCAGCGCGAACUGGAGGCCUUGAGUGCGCAGGAGGUAGGCGGAAUUCGUCGUGUAGCGGUGAAAUGCUUAGAUAUGACGAAGAACUCCGAUUGGGAAGCCAGCUUACUGUAGCGCCACUGACGCUGAUGCUCGAAAGUGCGGGUAUCGAACAGG
rnacentral:rRNA from 1 species